AGAGGAGAGUAAAACUCUUCUUUCCUACGUGCCAAACUGAUUUCAAGCCCCUGCUUUUGAUGCCCAAGUGUUGGGCAAUGGGAGGGCGUUUGACUCCCUCCAUGACUUCUAUUUGGGUCAUGUUUUGGGGCUGAAAUAAGUUGAUGAAACUGGGCUGGUGUGUUAUGUUUCUAUUGUCCAAAAGUUCGACAGCAAAAGGGCUCAUUUCAUGGCGCUAAUGUGUGCCUUUGGGUCCAAAGGUUGGACAGCAAGAGGGCCAUGAGACAAGGGAAUUUUGAUAUCCAAGAGAAGUAAGAAAGGAGAGAGAAAAUAUGAAGUGUUGAUGAUGCAAAAUAAGGAGUAGCUGUUGAUUUUCUUGAGAAAAAAUUUUAGCGAAUUCAGAUUAGGAAAAGUUCUAGACCGAGAUCCAUGUGGAUCAUCAUUGGAGGCCACGCGCUUGAGUACCUCAAGGAUACUGACUAUCGAGCUAUUCGGAUCUACAUGUUUGGGAGAAGCCCCUACCCAAAGCAAUGACCUGGGUGCAGCGCCACCUCCAAGCAAGCCCUUAAUCAUUGAGUCGGUCAUGUUUGCUCAAAAAGAAAUAACCCCAGCCAGCCUUUUGAGUUCUUCAUCCGCUACCAUAAAGAUUACUGCCUAGCCACUACUCAGGGUACCUCCGUUCCCCAACCAAGACAAAUGGAGAAAAUUCGAUCAAGGAUCCACGCAUCCAAGGAAAGGGGAGAGAAGAAAGGGGAAGAUUAUGUCGAGACUCAAAUCCCGUUCCCUGAACUUGAAGUGAGAGUCAAGGGGCUGUCCAAUGAUUUAAUAAAAUAUUAUUAUUGUUUGUAUAACUUUUUAAAGAAUAAUUAGAUUUGCAUUUUGAAUAUAUAUUAUAGAAGCAGUAUUGUGAACAAAUUGGAACGUCUCGGAAACUAUUAAAAUAGGCAUUGUCUAAA